UUCAUGUCUUCUGUUACCUUGUUGAUCUUCUGCCUAGUUGUUCUAUUCAUUAUUAAAAGUGGGUAUUGAAAUCUCCAACUAUUAUUCUUGAAU